rnacentral:rRNA from 1 species
UACGAAGGGGGCUAGCGUUGCUCGGAAUCACUGGGCGUAAAGCGCACGUAGGCGGAUCUUUAAGUCAGGGGUGAAAUCCUGGAGCUCAACUCCAGAACUGCCUUUGAUACUGAAGAUCUUGAGUUCGGGAGAGGUGAGUGGAACUGCGAGUGUAGAGGUGAAAUUCGUAGAUAUUCGCAAGAACACCAGUGGCGAAGGCGGCUCACUGGCCCGAUACUGACGCUGAGGCACGAAAGCGUGGGGAGCAAACAGG